GACGAACGCUGGCGGCGUGCUUAACACAUGCAAGUCGAACGGAAAGGCCCUGCUUUUGUGGGGUGCUCGAGUGGCGAACGGGUGAGUAACACGUGAGUAACCUGCCCUUGACUUUGGGAUAACUUCAGGAAACUGGGGCUAAUACCGGAUAGGAGCUCCUGCUGCAUGGUGGGGGUUGGAAAGUUUCGGCGGUUGGGGAUGGACUGGCGGCUUAUCAGCUUGUUGGUGGGGUAGUGGCUUACCAAGGCUUUGACGGGUAGCCGGCCUGGGAGGGUGACCGGCCACAUUGGGACUGAGAUACGGCCCAGACGCCUACGGGAGGCAGCAGUGGGGAAUAUUGCACAAUGGGCGGAAGCCUGAUGCAGCAACGCCGCGUGCGGGAUGACGGCCUUCGGGUUGUAAACCGCUUUCGCCUGUGACGAAGCGUGAGUGACGGUAAUGGGUAAAGAAGCACCGGCUAACUACGUG
rnacentral:rRNA from 1 species